rnacentral:lncRNA from 1 species
GGAAGGGUGAUAGGUUGGCAUCAAGUGCUUACAAGAUGGGCAUUUCUAGUCUAAGGUCAGGCUGAAAGUCAUCAGAAACACCAUUUAAUUAUUAAUUUCUGCAAAGUGAAAGAAACUGAUGGGCCAUACUGACAUGAGUCAAAUUAUAGAUAGGGUGACUAAUUUGAGGAGAAUCAACAUAAGUCCAAGAAGGGAAAGGAGUUUAGCAGUGAACAAAAAUCGAAUCGGAUGGCAGAAGUUAUGGUCACAGCACAAGGAAGACUGCCUCAGAUGCCGGGUGGCAGGGAACACACGUGGUUAUUCCAAGGCCCUGACUUUGACCUCUGAGAGCAUCUUCCUUGCCCAAGUUCUCCCAACUGUAUCUGAGAGACUCAAAAUCAGUGAAGAAAUGUGGAAUAUUGCAGUGGAAACAGCACUAUGCUAA